rnacentral:rRNA from 1 species
UACAGAGGGGGCAAGCGUUGUUCGGAAUUACUGGGCGUAAAGGGCGCGUAGGCGGCCUGCUAAGUCGAACGUGAAAUCCCCGGGCUCAACCCGGGAACUGCGUCCGAUACUGGCAGGCUUGAAUCCGGGAGAGGGAUGUGGAAUUCCAGGUGUAGCGGUGAAAUGCGUAGAUAUCUGGAGGAACACCGGUGGCGAAGGCGGCAUCCUGGACCGGUAUUGACGCUGAUGCGCGAAAGCCCGGGGAGCAAACGGG